rnacentral:rRNA from 1 species
AGCGAACGCUGGCGGCAGGCCUAACACAUGCAAGUCGAACGGAACCUUCGGGAGUAGUGGCGGACGGGUGAGUAACACGUGGGAACGUGCCCGUUGGUUCGGAACAACUCAGGGAAACUUGAGCUAAUACCGGAUGUGCCCUUCGGGGGAAAGAUUUAUCGCCAUUGGAGCGGCCCGCGUCUGUUUAGCUAGUUGGGGAGGUAACGGCCCACCAAGGCGACGAUCAGUAGCUGGUCUGAGAGGAUGAUCAGCCACACUGGGACUGAGACACGGCCCAGACUCCUACGGGAGGCAGCAGUGGGGAAUCUUGCGCAAUGGGCGAAAGCCUGACGCAGCCAUGCCGCGUGAAUGAUGAAGGUCUUAGGGUUGUAAAAUUCUUUCAGCGGGGACGAUAAUGACGGUACCCGCAGAAGAAGCUCCGGCUAACUUCGUG